UGGGGAAUAUUGCACAAUGGGCGCAAGCCUGAUGCAGCAACGCCGCGUGAGGGACGACGGCCUUCGGGUUGUAAACCUCUUUUAGUAGGGAAGAAGCGAAAGUGACGGUACCUGCAGAAAAACGCACCGGCUAACUACGUGCCAGCAGCCGCGGUAAUACGUAGGGUGCGAGCGUUGUCCGGAAUUAUUGGGCGUAAAGAGCUCGUAGGCGGUCUGUCGCGUCUGCUGUGAAAAUCCCGAGGCUCAACCUCGGGCCUGCAGUGGGUACGGGCAGACUAGAGUGCGGUAGGGGAGAAUGGAAUUCCUGGUGUAGCGGUGGAAUGCGCAGAUAUCAGGAGGAACACCGAUGGCGAAGGCAGUUCUCUGGGCCGUAACUGACGCUGAGGAGCGAAAGCGUGGGGAGCGAACAGGAUUAGAUACCCUGGUAGUCCACGCCGUAAACGUUGGGCGCUAGAUGUGGGGACCAUUCCACGGUUUCCGUGUCGCAGCUAACGCAUUAAGCGCCCGCCUGGGGAGUACGGCCGCAAGGCUAAAA
rnacentral:rRNA from 1 species